rnacentral:rRNA from 1 species
CUACGUGCCAGCAGCCGCGGUAAUACGGAAGGUCCGGGCGUUAUCCGGAUUUAUUGGGUUUAAAGGGAGCGUAGGCUGGAGAUUAAGUGUGUUGUGAAAUGUAGACGCUCAACGUCUGAAUUGCAGCGCAUACUGGUUUCCUUGAGUACGCACAACGUUGGCGGAAUUCGUCGUGUAGCGGUGAAAUGCUUAGAUAUGACGAAGAACUCCGAUUGCGAAGGCAGCUGACGGGAGCGCAACUGACGCUUAAGCUCGAAGGUGCGGGUAUCAAACAGGAUUAGAUACCCUGGUAGUCCGCACAGUAAACGAUGGAUGCCCGCUGUUAGCGCCUGGCGUUAGCGGCUAAGCGAAAGCAUUAAGCAUCCCACCUGGGGAGUACGCCGGCAACGGUGAAACUCAAAGGAAUUGACGGGGGCCCGCACAAGCGGAGGAACAUGUGGUUUAAUUCGAUGAUACGCGAGGAACCUUACCCGGGCUUGAAUUGCAGAGGAAGGAUUUAGAGAUA